rnacentral:rRNA from 1 species
GAUUCUGGCUCAGGAUGAACGCUAGCUACAGGCUUAACACAUGCAAGGUCGAGGGGCAGCAUGAUCGAAGCUUGCUUGAUUGAUGGCGACCGGCGCACGGGUGAGUAACGCGUAUCCAACCUUCCCCUUAGUAGGGCAUAGCCCGGCGAAAGUCGGAUUAAUACCCUAUGUUAUCCGUCGAGGGCACCUGAAAUGGAUUAAAGAUUUAUCGCUAAGGGAUGGGGAUGCGUCUGAUUAGGUUGUUGGCGGGUAACGGCCCACCAAGCCUACGAUCAGUAGGGGUUCUGAGAGGAAGGUCCCCCACAUUGGUACUGAGACACGGACCAAACUCCUACGGGAGGCAGCAGUGAGGAAUAUUGGUCAAUGGGCGAGAGCCUGAACCAGCCAAGUAGCGUGCAAGGAUGACGGCCCUAUGGGUUGUAAACUGCUUUUGCAUGGGAAUAAAGUCGGGGACGUGUCCCCGUUUGUAUGUACCAUGAGAAUAAGGACCGGCUAAUUCCGUGCCAGCAGCUGC